GGGGUAUAUGUCUUCGGAUAUAGAGACCGGCGCACGGGUGCGUAACGCGUAUGCAAUCUACCUUUUACAGAGGGAUAGCCCAGAGAAAUUUGGAUUAAUACCUCAUAGUAUAGUGACUCGGCAUCGAGAUACUAUUAAAGUCACAACGGUAAAAGAUGAGCAUGCGUCCCAUUAGCUAGUUGGUAAGGUAACGGCUUACCAAGGCUACGAUGGGUAGGGGUCCUGAGAGGGAGAUCCCCCACACUGGUACUGAGACACGGACCAGACUCCUACGGGAGGCAGCAGUGAGGAAUAUUGGACAAUGGGCGCAAGCCUGAUCCAGCCAUGCCGCGUGCAGGAUGACGGUCCUAUGGAUUGUAAACUGCUUUUGUACGAGAAGAAACACUCCAACGUGUUGGAGCUUGACGGUAUCGUAAGAAUAAGGAUCGGCUAACUCCGUGCCAGCAGCCGCGGUAAUACGGAGGAUCCAAGCGUUAUCCGGAAUCAUUGGGUUUAAAGGGUCCGUAGGCGGUUUAGUAAGUCAGUGGUGAAAGCCCAUCGCUCAACGGUGGAACGGCCAUUGAUACUGCUAAACUUGAAUUAUUAGGAAGUAACUAGAAUAUGUAGUGUAGCGGUGAAAUGCUUAGAGAUUACAUGGAAUACCAAUUGCGAAGGCAGGUUACUACUAAUGGAUUGACGCUGAUGG
rnacentral:rRNA from 2 species